CGAGGGUGAUGACGUGCUUUUUGUAGAACGAGCCAACGAGUUACGGUAUGUAGCAAGGUUAAGUACUUAAGGUACGGAGCCGAAGGGAAACCGAGUCUUAAUAGGGCGAUUAGUUGCAUGCCGUAGACCCGAAACCGGGUGACCUAUCCAUGGCCAGGUUGAAGCGAGGGUAAAACUUCGUGGAGGACCGAACCACGUUGCUGUUGAAAAAGCAUGGGA
rnacentral:rRNA from 1 species